ACUGCUCAGUAACACGUGGACAGCCUGCCCUUAGGUUGGGUAUAAACCCGGGAAACUGGGUAUAAUACCCGAUAGGUCUCGAUUGCUGGAAUGCAUCGAGAUUUAAAGCUCCGGCGCCUAAGGAUGGGUCUGCGGCCUAUCAGGUAGUAGUGGGUGUAGCGUACCUACUAGCCUACGACGGGUACGGGUUGUGAGAGCAAGAGCCCGGAGAUGGAUUCUGAGACACGAAUCCAGGCCCUACGGGGUGCAGCAGGCGCGAAAACUUUACAAUGCUGGCAACAGCGAUAAGGGAACCUCGAGUGCCAGGUUACAAAUCUGGCUGUCGAGAUGCCUAAAAAGCAUUUCAUAGCAAGGGCCGGGCAAGACCGGUGCCAGCCGCCGCGGUAACACCGGCGGCUCGAGUGGUAACCGUUAUUAUUGGGUCUAAAGGGUCUGUAGCCGGCCGGAUAAGUCUCUUGAGAAAUCUGGCAGCUUAACUGUCAGGCUUUCAGGAGAUACUGUCUGGCUCGAGGCCGGGAGAGGUGAGAGGUACUUCAGGGGUAGGGGUGAAAUCUUGUAAUCCUUGAAGGACCACCAGUGGCGAAGGCGUCUCACCAGAACGGACCUGACGGCAAGGGACGAAAGCUAGGGGCACGAACCGGAUUAGAUACCCGGGUAGUCCUAGCCGUAAACGAUACUCGCUAGGUGUCGGCCACGGUGCGACCGUUGUCGGUGCCGUAGGGAAGCCGUGAAGCGAGCCACCUGGGAAGUACGGCCGCAAGGCUGAAACUUAAAGGAAUUGGCGGGGGAGCAC
rnacentral:rRNA from 1 species